AUUGAACGCUGGCGGCAGGCUUAACACAUGCAAGUCGAGCGGUAACAGAGAGAAGCUUGCUUCUCUGCUGACGAGCGGCGGACGGGUGAGUAAUGCCUAGGAAUCUGCCUAGUAGUGGGGGAUAACUUGCCGAAAGGUAAGCUAAUACCGCAUCCGUCCUACGGGAGAAAGGAGGGGACCUUCGGGCCUUUCGCUAUUAGAUGAGCCUGGGUCGGAUUAGUUAGUUGGUGAGGUAAUGGCUCACCAAGACCGCGAUCCGUAACUGGUCUGAGAGGAUGAUCAGUCACACUGGAACUGAGACACGGUCCAGACUCCUACGGGAGGCAGCAGUGGGGAAUAUUGGACAAUGGGGGGAACCCUGAUCCAGCCAUGCCGCGUGUGUGAAGAAGGUCUUAGGAUUGUAAAGCACUUUAAGUUGGGAGGAAGAGCAGUUAACUAAUAUUUGACUGUUUUGACGUUACCGACAGAAUAAGCACCGGCUAACUUCGUGCCAGCCGCCGCAGUAA
rnacentral:rRNA from 1 species